UACGAAGGGGGCUAGCGUUGUUCGGAAUCACUGGGCGUAAAGCGCACGCAGGCGGAUCGAUAAGUCGGGGGUGAAAGCCCGGGGCUCAACCUCGGAAUUGCCUUCGAUACUGUCGGUCUCGAGUCCGGGAGAGGUGAGUGGAAUUCCUAGUGUAGAGGUGAAAUUCGUAGAUAUUAGGAAGAACACCAGUGGCGAAGGCGGCUCACUGGCCCGGUACUGACGCUCAGGUGCGAAAGCUAGGGGAGCGAAUGGG
rnacentral:rRNA from 1 species